GUUUGAGUUUUAAUCGAUUCGAGCUUCAGGUCUCAAGUAGUUCGAGAUUUAAGUUGUUUGGGUCUCCGGUUAUUUAGCUCUAGGAUGGCCUUGGGAUUUAUGCUUCAUUCUAUAUUGCGUUUAGGUGUUUGCGCUGUACCAAUGUUGUUUUGAGUUUUAUGUCAUUCCAGUUUGGAUCAUUUCAAGUGUAAAUUAGCUGAUCUUUCGUGUUGAUUAGUUGUCGCACUUUCCUGGAUAAAAAUUUUACGGGGACAAUCCUCAUAGUGAGAUAGUCACAUUCACUGUCCAUCAUAAUUUGAGAUUUAUAAGGUCUGUACGAUGAACGCUGGAUAAGGUCGUUUCAUUUCCUCCCAUUUUUAUGGUCC
rnacentral:lncRNA from 1 species